UACGGAGGGUGCAAGCGUUAUCCGGAUUCACUGGGUUUAAAGGGUGCGUAGGCGGGCUGGUAAGUCCGUGGUGAAAUCUCCAAGCUUAACUUGGAAACUGCCGUGGAUACUAUCAAUCUUGAAUAUCGUGGAGGUAAGCGGAAUAUGUCAUGUAGCGGUGAAAUGCUUAGAUAUGACAUAGAACACCAAUUGCGUAGGCAGCUUACUACACGAUCAUUGACGCUGAGGCACGAAAGCGUGGGGAGCAAACAGG
rnacentral:rRNA from 1 species